rnacentral:rRNA from 1 species
UAACGGCGAGUGAAGCGGCAACAGCUCAAAUUUGAAAUCGGGCCUCUUUGGGGUCCGAGUUGUAAUUUGUAGAGGAUGUUUCGGGUACCGCCUCGGUUUAAAUUUCUUGGAACAGAAUGUCAAAGAGGGUGAGAAUCCCGUCUUGGACCGGCGGUAGGGCCCAUGUGAAACUCCUUCGACGAGUCGAGUUGUUUGGGA